UACGAAGGGGGCUAGCGUUGCUCGGAAUCACUGGGCGUAAAGGGUGCGUAGGCGGGUCUUUAAGUCAGGGGUGAAAUCCUGGAGCUCAACUCCAGAACUGCCUUUGAUACUGAAGAUCUUGAGUUCGGGAGAGGUGAGUGGAACUGCGAGUGUAGAGGUGAAAUUCGUAGAUAUUCGCAAGAACACCAGUGGCGAAGGCGGCUCACUGGCCCGAUACUGACGCUUAGGCACGAAAGCGUGGGGAGCGAACAGG
rnacentral:rRNA from 1 species